ensembl:lncRNA
GAUAUCUUGUGUGGAACACAUGACUCAGUUAGGAGCUGCCAAAGAGGAUUUCUUCCAGACUUUCUGCAAAGCAUCAAGUACCUCAGACAAUUUGCUGCCAAGGCAGUGAUGCCUCCACCUCUGGAUUUGUUAUGAUAAAAAUCUCAUGCAUCUGCUUUUUCAAAUGUUCUCCGGUUUUCCUAUUAACUUUUUUUUUUUUUUUCUGUGAACAUAACAAGAAGAGUAUGGGACUAUAUGGGAGCUACAAAGGAAAUGCUCUGCAGAUCUUCACCAAGUGAUGCACCUGUUUUAGCGUACUUGAUUUGUUCAGCUUUUUGCUUCCUAUUCAGAAUAGAAAAAGAAGAUUGGCUUGCAUCUCAACCUUAUUUCAUUCCCAAAAGGUCAUUUUUGUGCUGUUUUUAUGGAGUGCUCAGAGUCUUUAGCA